rnacentral:rRNA from 1 species
GACGAACGCUGGCGGCGUGCCUAAUACAUGCAAGUCGAACGCAGUGGGGACGGGUGAGUAACACGUGGGUAACCUCCCAUCAGAGGGGAUAACACUUGGAAACAGGUGCUAAACCGAUACUGAUGGAUGGACUCGCGGUGCAUUAGCUAGUUGGUGAGGUAACGGCUCACCAAGGCCACGAUGCAUAGCCGGCCUGAGAGGGUGAUCAGCCACACUGGGACUGAGACACGGCCCAGACUCCUACGGGAGGCAGCAGUAGGGAAUCUUCGGCAAUGGACGAAAGUCUGACCGAGCAAAGCCGCGUGAGUGAAGAAGGCUUUCGGAUCGUAAAACUCUGUUAUUGGAGAGGCGGUAUCUAACCAAGAAGCCACGGCUAACUACGUGCCAGCAGCCGCGGUAAUUC